GAGCUUGGGCAAGAGAGAGAUCACUACCACCAUCACCCUCCUCAGGGUGAAAACUGGAAAACCAGAGCUCAUGCUGCCUUGGGAAUUAAACCAUGGAGCCAGCUCAUAAUGGGUAAGAUCAGGUUCCUACUCUAAGAUGCCCUCCCCUGACCUGAGACUGGCUGCUUGUUCUCCAGCAGCCCCUCCAAGGAAGCUUCUCCAAAUCUAGCCACCCACGGUUCCCAGUGCUCAAGCUGGUUUUCUUCCAAAUUCGGGGAAAGGAAGGCUGCUGAGCCGUUCCACAAAUCUCCCAGCAUCGCUGCCAAAACCCUCUGACGAGUUGCACGGUCUUUUCAUCUCCAACAGCUGCCGGCAUUGUUAGGACCUGUCUGCAGGCUCCAUCUGAGGUGUGAACAGACCUCAGAAACCUGCGGCCCCGCCCCUCCUAUUCACAGAGCAUCUCUGAUUCUCAGCGGAGAAUCUUUGUUCUCUCAGAGAGAAUCUUUGUUCUCGCAGAUCGGCCUGGAAUUGUCGGGGAAAAUGGCCGUCCGGAGGAAAAGGAAGGAUAAUAAUAAAGCUUCCGUCGGGAGAAUUUCACAAAAGCAGAGUCACAUUUCAAAGCAGCUGCCGGUCCCCACUGAGGGGACCCGGGAAGAGACAGCCGCAUCUGUGAGCGCCUGUUUAGUUUCUGUCUGAAACCUGCCAGAAUCCGCACGCGGCUGUCAGCCACCAGGACAUCAGUGAGGGUUUGGCCACCUGUCAGCUGUCCGUGGUGGUACUAAGAAAAUCCAGGAUCUGGGCCUCAGAGUCAGAUGUCAAGGCCACUGGGGAGAUGUCCCCCACCAGCCCACCUACCUUCUCUUCCCUAUAU
ensembl:lncRNA